AAACGACUUUCGGCAACGGAUAUCUCGGCUCUCGCAUCGAUGAAGAACGUAGCGAAAUGCGAUACUUGGUGUGAAUUGCAGAAUCCCGUGAAUCAUCGAGUCUUUGAACGCAAGUUGCGCCCGAAGCCUUUUGGCCGAGGGCACGUCUGCCUGGGUGUCACGC
rnacentral:rRNA from 1 species